GGUCAUGUGGCCUAGUGGUCAUGGCAUCUGCCCGGUAAGCGGAAGGUCGUGGGUUCGAUUCCCAUCUAGGGCCU